AUAAAAGAGGGGAUUCCCAAAGAGCCUUCACCCCACUUACACAAUAUUGUACCAGGGUGAGGUUUGUUCAUUGCCCUCUGGGUGUGUUGACCCCUGCGAUUUCCCCAAAUAUGAGAAACUCAACCUCUUAAUUUGUGGUAGUGGGGCACUGUGUUUACACUCUUCUCUG